GGAGGGGUCACAUAGUGGUCUAGUGUAGAGGUUUACUAAACCUCCGUAUCGCAAGAUACCGCGGGUUCGAAUCCCGCCCCCUCCGCCA
rnacentral:tRNA from 1 species